ACGCCUCUGCGCCGUCCCGGCCGGGGGUCCUCGCGGUUUGUUAAGCAAUGAGGUCAUUACCGAGUUCACAAAGCCAGCGUUCGCAGACGCUGGUUUCGGAAUUCGUCUUCUGAGGUCAUCGGGCCGUGUUCGGGGCUGCGGGACAGAAGUAUCCAAGCUCCAAAUCUGGGGAUGUCCGGCCGGCGCGCUGACCACCCGCCAAAGGCCCACCAGGUCUGCGGACCAAAGCCUCCUGUUUGCACGGUGGCUUCCACUUCUCGGGGAACUGAGACCACGGAUGGAAAGCAAGCAGAAGUCGCCGUUGACCGUGUCUUGAUCUGCCUGCACUCUUUACCGUCGUCCGGGACAGCAGCUUCAAAACCCGCACCACCGCGUUCACCCGUGGCCGUCAGUUCAGCGGUUACCACCCCGAAGUCGCCCUGUAAUAAAAAGGCCCGUCUUCUGCUGACACGAUUCUCUCUUUGAUGUUUUAUAAAUAUCCCAAGAACUUCAGUCACAUUUAAGUUUGACAGGCUAAACUGUCAUUUUACAUUAUGCAGGCACAGAGUGGUGAGGUGCUGGGACCCACACACGCUGCAUACAUCAAAACUGUCACUGUGUAUUACAGCCUUUAAAAAUAAAUGCAGCUUUUGGGUGGCAGCAAUGUGCACUGUGACUUUCUCCAUUAGAAAAUUUCCUCCCACAUAGCAAGAACGAAGCACCAGCAAGUUCAAUCUGUCCUAAUGAAGAGGCUGAAAAUGAAUACUGAGAGCGAAUUCUGUUUAUGAAUUGUUUUCGGCUAGUCUCCAUAUCUCUUGGGCUUCUUGUGCUAUCUUGCCAAUCAGUUCAAGGGGUCCCUGUGCCUGACAUCCCCUUAGAGCACAGCUCUGGUGAUAUCUCUUGCUCUAAACCGGGGCACGCAGGUUACACUCCUGUGUAGCAUCCUGGCUCCCUUCUUUUGCUGCCCUAAGCCAGUCAAACCAGGCUGAAGCACAGAAGUUGCUAGUCGUUUGUGGCACUCGACCAAGGCAGAGGAUGAGACGGUACUCCUCCCCAUGUCCUGGAUUUUCUGUCCAUGUCUUUGCCAAAUGAGGUGUCCACCUCCUCCAUGAAGCCUUCCUAGGACUCCUCCAAUCCCCUUCAGUGCUGCUACUGUAUUCCAUAUCGAUACCUGGCUCACACCAACUACACAUGAACUGCUUGGAAGGAAAGAACAUUCCUAUUUGAUUCCUGUGGAUGCAGCAGGUACUCAGUGCAUAGUGGGCACUGCAUCCAGUAAGGUUUUGUAGCUGAGAGGGACAUGAGCAUAAUUAGCAGCUUAACCAAGAGCCCCCUGCCUCAAAGCAGAACUCUUUCUCCAGAUGAAACUUUAGAAAUGUAAUAAAGAAAUGAGUAAGAGGGAAGCGAUCUCUUUGGCGUGGGUAUAGUGGGUACAGGGCCCUUUGUCUGCUCACCCUCCCCUUCCAGCUCCCUGGCUCUUCUUGCAGUUUGCAGAACCAGUUCCGUAUCCAUGCUUUGUGGCUUUUUUCUUUUCUUUUUUAGUGCUGGAGAUUGAACCCAGAGGCACUCUACCGCUGUGUUGCCGCCCCAGUCCUUUUUACUUUUCGAGAUAGGGUCUUGCUCAGUCGCCCAGCCUGGCCUCAAACUUGCACCUGCCUCAGCCUCCUGAGUAGCUGGAUUUACAGACAUUCACCAUGUCUACCUUCUUAAUAACGAAUUCUAAUUAGGUGAGAUGGUUUGGAAUAUAAUUAUGAGGAACUCUGAGAGACGAUGGUCACAACUAUCAUUUAUGAAGGACUUAUGUGGCAGGUGGUGUUUCGGGUACUUCCAUGACUUAACUCAUUCCAUCCUCAUGACCCUGUGAGGUGGAGACUAGUAACCUCUGCAGCCUGCAGAUAAGGGAAGGGGAGCACAGCGCCCGAAGGAACUCGCCUCAGACCACACAUCUGGUUAAGUGGCAGGAACCAGGUUCGGUGGACCAGACGUGAAGCCAUGGGACUGCUCCGUGGGUGUGAGAAGAGAGUAGUUUAGAACCACUGGAAUAGCUGUGACCUCUGCUACCUGCCCGCACCCACAGCCAAGGAGAUCCUUUCUCAGUGGAGAGAAGUAGCGUUCUACGAGACUGCCAACGUUUCUAGAAAGCUGAAGAGCUCACCCCUGCGGUGACUGGCAGCGGGCUGUCUGUGGGAAUGUGAAGCUCAUCCCACUAGCAGGAUUCUGACGGAGAGGGACUCACAGUCACACACCAGGGAGGACAGGGACGCCCCUGGCCCCGGGCGUGCGGUACUGCCGUGCAGGAAGAUGGAAGCUGAUUCUUCUCAUGUAAUUACCUUUUUAAACUGAACAUUGAACUUGCAACCCAUGCAUGGAAAACUCAGCCUGCAACGCAGCCAGUCAAUUCUGUUGUGUACUAAACCCUGAGCGCUCUGGCUGCUCCUAAUGGAAACGAGGCCUGGGAGCUGCUUGCUGAGGGGUGGAUGUGGUCGGGGGAGCAGUGUCUGUCCCCGUCACUGCUGCCUGGGAACACUGUGUGCACUGACUGGCUACAUCCUUAAUCAGUGCACCUUUGAUGAACCUCGAGACCUGCCUUCUACUUAGUGCUGUGUCUUAGUUAAACUAAACUUUGGAAGGGCAAAUGAUUUAAAACAGCCAUGGUCAAGGGAGGCCCGGGCCCAUUCCAACAGCCACAUAU